rnacentral:rRNA from 1 species
AUUGAACGCUGGCGGCAGGCCUAACACAUGCAAGUCGAGCGGAUGCAGGGAGCUUGCUCCUGGAUUCAGCGGCGGACGGGUGGGUAAUGCCUAGGAAUCUGCCUGGUAGUGGGGGAUAACGUCCGGACACGGGCGCUAAUACCGCAUACGUCCUGAGGGAGAAAGUGGGGGAUCUUCGGACCUCACGCUAUCAGAUGAGCCUAGGUCGGAUUAGCUAGUUGGUGGGGUAAAGGCCUACCAAGGCGACGAUCCGUAACUGGUCUGAGAGGAUGAUCAGUCACACUGGAACUGAGACACGGUCCAGACUCCUACGGGAGGCAGCAGUGGGGAAUAUUGGACAAUGGGCGAAAGCCUGAUCCAGCCAUGCCGCGUGUGUGAAGAAGGUCUUCGGAUUGUAAAGCACUUUAAGUUGGGAGGAAGAGCAGUAAGUUAAUACCUUGCUGUUUUGACGUUACCAACAGAAUAAGCACCGGCUAACUUCGUG